rnacentral:rRNA from 1 species
AUUGAACGCUGGCGGCAGGCCUAACACAUGCAAGUCGAGCGGGGUUUUCGGACCUAGCGGCGGACGGGUGAGUAAUGCGUAGGAAGCUACCCGAUAGAGGGGGAUACCAGUUGGAAACGACUGUUAAUACCGCAUAAUGUCUACGGACCAAAGUGUGGGACCUUCGGGCCACAUGCUAUCGGAUGCGCCUACGUGGGGCUAGUUAGUUGGUGGGGUAAUGGCUCACCAAGGCGACGAUCCCUAGCUGGUUUGAGAGGAUGAUCAGCCACACUGAAACGGAGACACUGUCCAGACUCAUACGGGAGGCAGCAGUGGGGAAUAGUGGCCAAUGCGCGCAAGCCUGAUCCAGCCAUGCCGCGUGUGUGAAGAAUGCCUUCGGGUUGUAAAGCACUUUCAGUAGGGAGGAAGCGUUGUGUGUUAAUAGUACACAGCGUUGACGUUACCUACAGAAGAAGCACCGGCUAACUCUGUGCCAGCAGCCGCCGUAACAC